rnacentral:ncRNA from 1 species
CGGUUUGGUCGCCCGAAAAGGCGUGAAAAGGGAAUCAGGUGCAAGUCCUGAACAGUCCCGCUGCUGUAAGUUCAGUAGAUUGCCAAUCAAGCAUAUAGCCACUGCAUAACGCCAUAGUUAUGUGGGAAGGCUGAACGGCAAUGAACAAGUCAGAAGACCUGCCAAAUCUGAA